GACGAACGCUGGCGGCGUGCCUAAUACGUGCAAGUUGAGCGCUGAAGGUUGGUCCUUGUACCAACUGGAUGAGCAGCGAACGGGUGAGUAACGCGUGGGGAAUCUGCCUUUGAGCGGGGGACAACAUUUGGAAACGAAUGCUAAUACCGCAUAAAAACUUUAAACACAAGUUUUAAGUUUGAAAGAUGCAAUUGCAUCACUCAAAGAUGAUCCCGCGUUGUAUUAGCUAGUUGGUGAGGUAAAGGCUCACCAAGGCGAUGAUACAUAGCCGACCUGAGAGGGUGAUCGGCCACAUUGGGACUGAGACACGGCCCAAACUCCUACGGGAGGCAGCAGUAGGGAAUCUUCGGCAAUGGACGAAAGUCUGACCGAGCAACGCCGCGUGAGUGAAGAAGGUUUUCGGAUCGUAAAACUCUGUUGGUAGAGAAGAACGUUGGUGAGAGUGGAAAGCUCAUCAAGUGACGGUAACUACACAGAAAGGGACGGCUAACUACGUG
rnacentral:rRNA from 1 species